ACAUCAGUAUGUGGUAUGGAAGAAGAAGAAGAGAAAUGGGUCUUACCCAACAGGUCUUGUGUCUUCAAUGGCUCUGUCCACCGGGAUCAAAUCGCUGAGGACCCCAGUGUUAAUCUCACUGAAUGAGAGGCGGAGAGCUGCCAUGUCAAAGAGCAGCCAGAUGACAGAAGCUACAAAUAUAAAUGCCAGGACUCGCCCACUUCCUCGGAAAAACUUUCGGAUCUUGUUCAUGACCAUAGCAGUUUGCUGAUCGCACUGAACUUGGACCAGACUUUUUUGGGAAUCAGAAGCUAAUGAACCAACAUGUAAAAACUGUGGUCUGCAGACUCCUUGAAGUUAGGAAGCUGCUGUGAUAUCACCAUGGUGACCUGCAUAUACUGGAUGCCCCAAAUUCCGUGGAGAAAAUGGAGACAUUUUAUAGUUUAUUAAAAUAUGCAUGCUUACCUAUUUUCAUUAUUUAUUAUGAGGAUUAAAUGACUUCUUACAGGUCAAAUGCUUAGAAAAGCACAGACAAGUUAAACACAUUCAGUAAGUGUUAGCUACAAUUUUGAUUCUUUUGAAAUAGCAGGGAAUGGGCUAUUUGAGUUCAUCAUAUAUGUUGAGUAUGUAUAAAAAUUCCUGUAGCCAGUUUUUAGCAAACUGGAACAGGAUGAACUAGGAUUCAAGAAAUUCUAUGGUGAGGAUAGAGGUGUCUUACACUUUAUUAAAAUAAGAGGACUCCAUGUAUCACUCUGGCACAAGACCUUGACGGUGGGGGAGGCUGGGCAUGUGUGGGGGCCAAUAGUACAAUAUAUGUGAACUCUGCACUUUCUGCUCCAUUUUACUAUGAAAAUAAAACUCCUUUUUAAAAAAGCUUAUUAAGCACUCAAAAUACUAUUGAGAUUAAGAUCUGAAUUGUAAAACAACAAUAAUAACAUUUGAGUAAUUAGGCAUUUUUAGUACCAAAAAUUUAAAUUACUUCUUUUCUGUCAUGUAUACUCAUACUCCCAACUCCACUGGGGGUUACAAAAAUUUGACAUCAUGAGGAAUUGCACUACUGAUUUGUGUUUGCCUGCCUCUGAGGAAGCUCAGUCUAGAGAGGAAAACUGAUGAGCAGGUGUCUUUAUGGCUGUAUGACUGGCCUGCUUAGGGUACUGCUGGUUGGUCUGCAGUGCUCAUGGUCCACUGUUUUACAUAGCUGUGAUCUGGGUAUAGUUUGCAUUGUUUUCUUUCAUCUUUACAAUUCUGUUUGUGCUUUUGUGCAUUAAAGGUUUGAUUACAUUCAAAAUGUGACUACUCACCCAUUAUUCAUUUUUUUAGUGAGGAAACAGAAACAUUAAAUAGAACACUUCAUGCACAAAAAUAAGUUCUCUAUAGGGAGACAGCCUGGUAUAGUGAAGAGCAGACAGGAUUUGAGGUCACCAAGUCUCAAAGUCAUAUUUCAGCACUGCCACUUUUAGCGAUGGAACUUUGGCACCUCAGUAUCCUCAUUGACCUUCAGUUUCCUCAUGGGAAAGCUAUGAAUUUUGAUGCCUCUUUCAUGGAGUUGUGAGAAUUGGAGCAGGAAGGUGAAAGGUAAGCAGAAUUAUGUAGGAAUGCAGAUUGGUGCAGCCACUGUAGAAAACAGUAUGGAAUUCUCUCAGAAAACUAAAAAUGGAACUGCCUUUUGACCCAGCAAUUCCACUGCUGGGUUUAAACCCUAAGAUUCUGAAACAUCAACUCAAAAGAACCUAUGCACCCCAAUGUUCAUAGCAGAACAAUUUACAAUAGCCAAGUGCUGGAAGCAACUUAAGUAAAUGAAUGGAUCAAAGAACUGUGGUACAUUUACAUGAUAGAAUACUACACACCAGAAAGGAGAAGGAGCUUCUACAGUUUGGAAGUGGAUACAGUCACCAGUGGAUGGAACUGGAAAGCACUAUGCUAAGUGAAACAAGGAAGGCAGUGAAAGAGAAAUACCGCAUGAUCUCACCUGUAAGUGGAACCUAAUCAACAAAGC